rnacentral:rRNA from 1 species
AGACCUGUAUGAAAGGCAAAAUGAGAGCCCAACUGUCUCUUAUAAUAGAUCAAUUAAACUGAUCUUUCAGUACAAAAGCUGAAAUACCCCCAUAAGACCAGAAGACCCUGUGAAGCUUUAAUUACCCUAUUAAACCCAAUAAUAGCUAAUUUCGGUUGGGGCGACCUUGGAACAAAAAAGAACUUCCAAAUACAUGACCUAAGUCAUCAAAAAGGCAUACAAGCCCAUAUUAGACCCAGUACAGCUGAUAAUUGAACCAAGUUACUCCAGGGACAACAGCGCCAUCUUCUUCAAGAGCCCAUAUCAAAAAGAAGGUAUACGACCUCGAUGCGCGGCCUGGACAUCCUCGCAAUGCAGCCGUUACUAAGGGUUCGUUUGUUCAACGAUUAACAGUCCUACGUGAUCUGAGUUYCAAAUCGAACA